rnacentral:rRNA from 1 species
UACGGAGGGGGCUAGCGUUGUUCGGAAUUACUGGGCGUAAAGCGCACGUAGGCGGCUUUGUAAGUUAGAGGUGAAAGCCCAGGGCUUAACCCUGGAAUUGCCUUUAAGACUGCAUCGCUAGAAUCGUGGAGAGGUGAGUGGAAUUCCGAGUGUAGAGGUGAAAUUCGUAGAUAUUCGGAAGAAACACCAGUGGCGGAAGGCGACUCACUGGGCACGGUAUUGACGCUGAGGUGCGAAAGCGUGGGGAGCAAACAGG